rnacentral:lncRNA from 1 species
UUUUCUAACUUUUUAUUUUGUUUUUUCUUUCUUUGUUUCUUUACAAUUAUUUUUUCCACCAUAACCGCAACUUUAAUUUUAUUUAAUACAAUUAAUAUUUUUCUUGACUUUCUUUUACUUUUUUUAAGACAAAAAAUAUUUUUUUAUUAAUUUUUAAAAUGAUUUUUUACUAUUGAUCUAGUGACCAACUCAAACUUUAAUAAAUAUGCGAAAAAGAAAAAUUUAGUGGUUUACAUUUGAAUUAGGGAUUUUAAAAUCUAACAUUUUGAUAUUCAAACAAACAACUAA